rnacentral:rRNA from 1 species
UAAUACGGAGGGUGCAAGCGUUAUCCGGAUUUAUUGGGUUUAAAGGGUGCGUAGGCGGUUUGAUAAGUCAGCGGUGAAAUAUUUCAGCUUAACUGGAAGGGUGCCGUUGAUACUGUCGAGCUUGAAUUUAGUUGCUGUGGGUGGAAUGUGUGGUGUAGCGGUGAAAUGCAUAGAUAUCACACAGAAUAUCGAUUGCGAAGGCAGCUCACAAAGCUAAUAUUGACGCUGAUGCACGAAAGUGUGGGGAUCAAACAGG